ACGCUGGCGGCAGGCCUAACACAUGCAAGUCGAGCGGCAGCACGGGUACUUGUACCUGGUGGCGAGCGGCGGACGGGUGAGUAAUGCCUAGGAAUCUGCCUGGUAGUGGGGGAUAACGCUCGGAAACGGACGCUAAUACCGCAUACGUCCUACGGGAGAAAGCAGGGGACCUUCGGGCCUUGCGCUAUCAGAUGAGCCUAGGUCGGAUUAGCUAGUUGGUGAGGUAAUGGCUCACCAAGGCGACGAUCCGUAACUGGUCUGAGAGGAUGAUCAGUCACACUGGAACUGAGACACGGUCCAGACUCCUACGGGAGGCAGCAGUGGGGAAUAUUGGACAAUGGGCGAAAGCCUGAUCCAGCCAUGCCGCGUGUGUGAAGAAGGUCUUCGGAUUGUAAAGCACUUUAAGUUGGGAGGAAGGGCAUUUACCUAAUACGUAAGUGUUUUGACGUUACCGACAGAAUAAGCACCGGCUAACUCUGUGCCAGCAGCCGCGGUAAUACAGAGGGUGCAAGCGUUAAUCGGAAUUACUGGGCGUAAAGCGCGCGUAGGUGGUUUGUUAAGUUGGAUGUGAAAUCCCCGGGCUCAACCUGGGAACUGCAUUCAAAACUGACAAGCUAGAGUAUGGUAGAGGGUGGUGGAAUUUCCUGUGUAGCGGUGAAAUGCGUAGAUAUAGGAAGGAACACCAGUGGCGAAGGCGACCACCUGGACUGAUACUGACACUGAGGUGCGAAAGCGUGGGGAGCAAAC
rnacentral:rRNA from 1 species